rnacentral:rRNA from 1 species
CGGGACGGGUGAGUAACGCGUGGGUAACCUGCCUCAUACAGGGGGAUAACAGUUAGAAAUGGCUGCUAAUACCGCAUAAGACCACAGCACCGCAUGGUGCAGGGGUAAAAACUCCGGUGGUAUGAGAUGGACCCGCGUCUGAUUAGCUAGUUGGUGGGGCAACGGCCUACCAAGGCGACGAUCAGUAGCCGACCUGAGAGGGUGACCGGCCACAUUGGGACUGAGACACGGCCCAA